rnacentral:rRNA from 1 species
GACGAACGCUGGCGGCGUGCUUAACACAUGCAAGUCGAACGGAAAGGCCCUGCUUUUGUGGGGUGCUCGAAUGGCGAACGUGUGAGUAACACGUGAGUAACCUGCCCUUGACUUUGGGAUAACUUCAGGAAACUGGGGCUAAUACCGGAUAGAAGCUCCUGCUGCAUGGUGGGGGUUGGAAAGUUUCGGCGGUUGGGGAUGGACUCGCGGCUUAUCAGCUUGUUGGUGGGGUAGUGGCUUACCAAGGCUUUGACGGGUAGCCGGCCUGAGAGGGUGACCGGCCACAUUGGGACUGAGAUACGGCCCAGACUCCUACGGGAGGCAGCAGUGGGGAAUAUUGCACAAUGGGCGGAAGCCUGAUGCAGCAACGCCGCGUGCGGGAUGACGGCCUUCGGGUUGUAAACCGCUUUCGCCUGUGACGAAGCGUGAGUGACGGUAAUGGGUAAAGAAGCACCGGCUAACUACGUG